ACAAGUUUUUGUGAGGCUCUGAAGCCAUUCCCUUUUCCAGAGGCAUAGCUGCUCUGGAGUCCUACAAGACUUGCUGAGCUAAAGCCCCUCAGAACAUCUACCUUCCUGGGAAGCAUACACAUGAAAUAGUUUUACAAGAUACCUUUCUUACAUAGCCGAGGCCCACCUGUCUAGAGAUAGCAUUACCCAAAGUCGGCUGGACCCUCUGAUGUCGCUUAGCAACUAAGAAAAUGCCACACAGACAUGACCACCAGCCAGUCUGAUCCGAAGAAUUCUUCACUUGUGGUUUCCUCCUUCCAGGUGACUCUAGCCUACAUAUAAUUUGAAAUGAUGUGUAUCAAAAAUGGACCUCCAGAAAAUGAUAACUUCACAGCUCCUGUGAAAUGACACCAAGCAUCAACAGGCAUGGCUUCUGAGGAUUCUUCCCUACGAGGAUGAGCGUGUGAAUGAAGGAGGCCCUGAGCCAGGCUGCCGUUUGUUCCAGGCCCUCCUCUCCAUCUCUGGAAAUUCAGAGUCCGGCUUGUGUUGGGGCCCACCGAGGGAACCAGACAGACCACACUGUGUGGGAGGCCCUAACCACCUCUUUGCUUUGAUCACCUGCGGCCAUCUUCCGUCUACCUUUCCUUUUGCAAAAAUUGGUUGAAAAUUUUAAGUCUUAUUAUUCUUUUGAUACUGUCCUGGAUUUUUCCCUUUAAAUCUUACUGUCCAAAUAAUUUGCUUCCCCCAACACAAA